GACGAACGCUGGCGGCGUGCUUAACACAUGCAAGUCGAACGGUAAGGCCCUUCGGGGUACACGAGUGGCGAACGGGUGAGUAACACGUGGGUGAUCUGCCCUGCACUUCGGGAUAAGCUUGGGAAACUGGGUCUAAUACCGGAUAGGACCACGGUCUGCAUGGAUUGUGGUGGAAAGCUUUUGCGGUGUGGGAUGGGCCCGCGGCCUAUCAGCUUGUUGGUGGGGUGAUGGCCUACCAAGGCGACGACGGGUAGCCGGCCUGAGAGGGUGUCCGGCCACACUGGGACUGAGAUACGGCCCAGACUCCUACGGGAGGCAGCAGUGGGGAAUAUUGCACAAUGGGCGCAAGCCUGAUGCAGCGACGCCGCGUGGGGGGAUGACGGCCUUCGGGUUGUAACCGUCUUUCUAGCAGGGACGAAGGGUGAC
rnacentral:rRNA from 1 species